rnacentral:tRNA from 1 species
GGGCGAGUGGUGGAAUCGGUAUACACGACGGACUUAAAAUCCGUUGCCCUUAGGCUUGCGGGUUCGAGUCCCGCCUCGCCCACCA